rnacentral:rRNA from 1 species
CCUACGGGAGGCAGCAGUGAGGAAUAUUGGUCAAUGGCGGUAAGGCUGAACCAGCCAAGUCGCGUGAAGGAAGAAGGCCCUAUGGUUUGUAAACUUCUUUUAUAGGGGGAUAAAGGUAUCCACGUGUGGAUUUUUGCAUUUACCCUAUGAAUAAGCAUCGGCUAACUCCGUGCCAGCAGCCGCGGUAAUACGGAGGGUGCGGGCGUUAUCCGGAUUUAUUGGGUUUAAAGGGUGCGUAGGUUGUGUUUUAAGUCAGUGGUGAAAGUUUGUGGCUCAACCAUAAAAUUGCCGUUGAAACUGGAAGGCUGGAGUGCGUUGGAGGGAGGCGGAAUUCGUGGUGUAGCGGUGAAAUGCAUAGAUAUCACGAAGAACUCCGAUUGCGAAGGCAGCUUACUGAGCCAUAACUGACACUGAAGCACGAAAGCGUGGGGAUCAAACAGGAUUAGAUACCCUUGUAGUC